CAAUAGCGUAUAUUAAAGUUGUUGCAGUUAAAAGCUCGUAGUUGGAGUUCAGAGUGAGCUCGUCCGGUCGGCCUUAUGGGUCAGAACUGGUUGACUCUCUCUUGUUUGUGGAUCCUGUUCGGAGUUAAUUCUUCGGAUGUGGAGUCCACAUCGUUUACCUUGAAAAAUUAGAGUGUUCAAAGCAGGCGUUUGCUUGAAUAUAUUAGCAUGGAAUAAUGGAAUAGGACGCUGGUUCUAUUUUGUUGGUUUCUAGGACCGAAGUAAUGAUUAAUAGGGACAGUUGGGGGCAUUAGUAUUUAAUUGUCAGAGGUGAAAUUCUUGGAUUUAUGAAAGACUAACUACUGCGAAAGCAUUUGUCCAAGGAUGUUUUCUAUUAAUCAAGAACGAAAGUUGGGGGAGUCGAAGAUGAUCAGAUACCGU
rnacentral:rRNA from 1 species